AGCGAACGCUGGCGGCAGGCCUAACACAUGCAAGUCGAACGAACUCUUCGGAGUUAGUGGCGGACGGGUGAGUAACACGUGGGAACGUGCCUUUAGGUUCGGAAUAACUCAGGGAAACUUGUGCUAAUACCGAAUGUGCCCUUCGGGGGAAAGAUUUAUCGCCUUUAGAGCGGCCCGCGUCUGAUUAGCUAGUUGGUGAGGUAAAGGCUCACCAAGGCGACGAUCAGUAGCUGGUCUGAGAGGAUGAUCAGCCACAUUGGGACUGAGACACGGCCCAAACUCCUACGGGAGGCAGCAGUGGGGAAUCUUGCGCAAUGGGCGAAAGCCUGACGCGGCCAUGCCGCGUGAAUGAUGAAGGUCUUAGGAUUGUAAAAUUCUUUCACCGGGGACGAUAAUGACGGUACCCGGAGAAGAAGCCCCGGCUAACUUCGUG
rnacentral:rRNA from 1 species